AUUCAAAUAACCAAAAUCCUCGGAAGGGGAUUAAAACG
rnacentral:other from 20 species